rnacentral:lncRNA from 1 species
CUUCAUCAAGUUCUAGUUCCCCAAGUGUUCUGCAGCUUUCGGAUUUCUGCAGUUUCCUUGCACAAGUAACUGGAUUCCUCAAUUUUCUGUGACGGUUUUGAGUUGAUGGUGAGGAUGAGUGUGAACGAGUUUUGUCACCCAACAAAAGGUCCAUUCUAGCCAAUCUUUCCUUUGUUUUUUCUUCAUUGUUGAUUGAUCCAUCCUUUGCGGAAAUAAAAACAACAUAAAAAUAGAAGAAUGAUCAUAGCAUGAAUCAAAACUGAACUCAUAGUACAGGAUAGAUAGAAUGUUGAUAGAAGGACUAACUCUAACUGUUUUUCAGUUAUACCUGAAGAAGCACAGAUAUUGACUCUGAAGAGAGUGGUUUCUCUAAAGAAGCUGAUUCAUCCGUUGAAGUUUCUUCAUCUGGUGGAGGUGAUGAAGAAAGAAUGGAGGAUGAGCAACACACAGAUUCUGAUGUGGGAAUAAGUUUUUCUUCAUCUGGUGGAGAUGGUAAGGAAAGAACUGAGGCUGUUGGACUUGGUUGUGAGAAAAAAAUGAGUCUGUGAAACCAAAGACUAUCCAUUUCUUCUAUAGUGCAUAGAAAGUUUUUUUUUUCCAUUGCUUAUUUCUCUGUGUGUGAGAGGGAUAGAGAGAGUAAGAUUUGCGUAUGAAAAGGCUGAAGGAAGUAGUGGCCUGUCGGCAGGUGUGGUGGUGGUGAAAAGAAACAGAAGUAGAGAAGCGAGUGAAGGCAAAUGAACGUGGAGA